UUACUAGAGCAAAGGAUAGACAGCGCCCGCGGAGCUCGCUCCCGGGGCCACCCUACUCCGGUAGGGUUUAGAGUCGUCGGGCCUCUCGGAGAAGCUCGGUCCUGAACUCCACCCUUGAAUAAACUACCUUUGUUGCUUUGGCGGGCCGCCUCGUGCCAGCGGCUUCGGCUGUUGAGUGCCCGCCAGAGGACCACAACUCUUGUUUUUAGUGAUGUCUGAGUACUAUAUAAUAGUUAAAACUUUCAACAACGGAUCUCUUGGUUCUGGCAUCGAUGAAGAACGCAGCGAAAUGCGAUAAGUAAUGUGAAUUGCAGAAUUCAGUGAAUCAUCGAAUCUUUGAACGCACAUUGCGCCCUCUGGUAUUCCGGGGGGCAUGCCUGUUCGAGCGUCAUUAUAACCACUCAAGCUCUCGCUUGGUAUUGGGGUUCGCGGUUUCGCGGCUCCUAAAAUCAGUGGCGGUGCCUAUCGGCUCUACGCGUAGUAAUACUCCUCGCGAUUGAGUCCGGUAGGUCUACUUGCCAGCAACCCCUAAUUUUUUAAGGUUGACCUCGGAUCAGGUAGGGAUACCCGCUGAACUUAAGCAUAUCAAUAAGCGGAGGAAAAGAAACCAACAGGGAUUACCUCAGUAACGGCGAGUGAAGCGGUAACAGCUCAAAUUUGAAAGCUGGCUCUUUUAGGGUCCGCGUUGUAAUUUGUAGAAGAUGCUUCGGGUGUGGCCCCGGUCUAAGUUCCUUGAAC
rnacentral:rRNA from 1 species